UUUGUAAAUUAUUUUUUUAUUGGGUCGAAAGCUUCUCAUAUAUAUAUUUUUUCUUUUUAAUAUCUUGGUUUUGUUCUCUAUAUCUUGAAAAUUUUCUUAGGAGAGAUCUGCUUGAUAUUAGAAUUUUUCUUUUUUAUAUUUAAGAAGAAGAAGAAGAAGAAGCUUUUUUUUGUUUGUUUUGUGGUGAAAGAAGAUAAAUAUUUUUUAAAAUAUAUUAUUAUUAUUAUUGUCGUUGUUGCUGUUAUUAUUAUUAUUUUAAUGUCUUGACAGAACAAGAAGGUUGUGUUUUUGUGGGUUUUUCAUGUCCUUGGAAUAUAGGUAGUUUUGAGUAAAAUCUUUGGGUCCUGAUUUUUGAAAUUUCUUUUGUUCUUUUCUUUUCUAUCUUUCGUGAUAGUCGGAUUUCUUUCUCUUUCUCUUUCUUCUACUUUUUACUUUUUCUUUCUUUUUUUUUUUUGUAGAUUUUAUUUGAAUUUGUCGAAUUUCUGGUAUUUUCAGCCAUCUGUUGGGCCAAUCUAUUCUUCAUCUUUUGAUGGGCCUUUUGUUUUCUUAAAUUUCUGGUAGUUGUAGCCAUUAGAUGGGCCAUCUUGUUCUUUAUCGUCCGUAUGGGCCCAUCGAUUUUGCAGGAGAGGACUUGUUUAUGGAGAGAAGGAGCUUCUAGGAUGUUCCCUUGCCGGAUCUAGAACUUGGAGUGCUGAAUUUGAACUGUAUUUUUCCCUUUGUUCUUCUGCUUUGUCCUGGCAUUGCCUGACAACGAGAGAGAGCACGCUUGUUGGCAUUCAAGUGAGCAUACAUGGCUGUUUACAUGCGUGCUGUCUCUCGUCGUCAUUCAAUUUUUUCAGCAAAGCAGUGGCAAAGCUGUUCGUUCUUCUUUCUUUUGCAUAUGUGCAUGAAAUGCCAACUAUUGGAGCAGUUCAUCAUUUGGGGGGCCUGCUUGAAGGAAUGAGACAGUUUUGGGUGCAUGGCCGUGGAUAGUUCAUGCAUUUGCAAUAUCCGAGCAAGAUAAUCUUUCACCCGGGGGUUUUUUGGCACCCCAUUGAGGUCAGUUUGUUUUGUUGCUUUGCCUAGUC